rnacentral:misc_RNA from 1 species
GAUGAAGAACGUAGCGAAAUGCGAUACUUGGUGUGAAUUGCUGAAUCCCGUGAACCAUCAAGUUUUUGAACGCAAGUUGCGCCCGAAGCCAUUAGGCCGAGGGCACGCCUGCCUGGGUGUCACACAUUGUUGCCCCAAUGCCAAUCGCCUCACUUUGUAGGUAUUUGCUUGGGGUGAAUGUUGGCCUCCCGUGAGCUCUGUCUCACGGUUGGUUGAAAAUCGAGUGCAUGGUGUCGGGUGUACCAUGAUGGAUGGUGGUUGAGUGAUGCUCGAGGCCAAUCAUGGGUAACUCCACCAGAAUUGUGCUCGGUGACCCACAUGCGUCCCUUGGAUGCUCCCUAAGGAGACCUUAGGUCAGGCGGGGCUACCCGCUGAGUUUAAGCAUAUCAAUAGCGGAGGA